AGCCAUUUUGGUUAAUGACUUUGAUUAUGAAAUAAUAUUUAUAAUUAUAUUAUUUCAUAAUAAUAAUUCUAACACAGACUGUACAGCUAGGUAUGUGGAGAAAAAAAGCAAAGGAGCCACCACCAAGCUCAGACCUUGCAUUGUUUUUCAUCUCACCUCUCCCACUCUCUCCAACGAAGAGGUGCAUGCACCUACUGAAAUUUUAUUUUAUCUCUUCUACCACGUGUUGUCAUUCUCCAACACGUCUUGAAUGAAUCACCUCUGCUUAUUUCUCAUUUAUACAGACUGAACUACAAUAAAAUUUUGCUUUCGUGAAAGUGGUUUACAAAUUAGUCGCCAUAAUCAAAUCCUUCCCGCCUCCAGCUAUCAAGACCAUCGAGCUUUAUGGUUCACCUUUUGGUGUCACUGCUAUCAGCCAUAAAGUAUCCCUUGAAAAUUUAUCACUUAUUCGAAUCAACCUUUGAAUUUUGAAGCUAUACUGCAGAAGCUACGCGAGAAUAACUUCUAUUCCAAUUCAAAUUGUAUCUGGUACUCACUCAAUUCUGCUAAUCAUUACAAAACAAUUGAAUUAAAUAUGUUAAGUCACAACGUGUAAUAUUGUCACAAUUGUGGUUGCUAUAGUAGUAUACAUUAUUUUAUAUAUGUAGAUAUAUGUAGAUACAUCACUUUUUGGUGGGUUUUGAGGGAAAGUAGAUAUAGGAUUAUUGGAGAAGCUAAUAAGAGAAUGAAUAAGAAUGUUUGGGGAGUGAUGCGUAAUGUUUUUGACUGUGUUAUUAGUCAGUGUGGUGGGAUGAAAAUUUUGCUACAAUUGUUGUUGUUGUUGAAGGAAUGAUAAUCCAUUUGAUA